AUUGAACGCUGGCGGCAUGCCUUACACAUGCAAGUCGAACGGUAACAGGUCUUCGGAUGCUGACGAGUGGCGCACGGGUGAGUAAUACAUCGGAACGUGCCCGAUCGUGGGGGAUAACGGAGCGAAAGCUUUGCUAAUACCGCAUACGAUCUACGGAUGAAAGCAGGGGACCGCAAGGCCUUGCGCGGACGGAGCGGCCGAUGGCAGAUUAGGUAGUUGGUGGGAUAAAAGCUUACCAAGCCGACGAUCUGUAGCUGGUCUGAGAGGACGACCAGCCACACUGGGACUGAGGCACGGCCCAGACUCCUACGGGAGGCAGCAGUGGGGAAUUUUGGACAAUGGGCGAAAGCCUGAUCCAGCCAUGCCGCGUGCAGGAUGAAGGCCUUCGGGUUGUAAACUGCUUUUGUACGGAACGAAAAGACUCUUUCUAAUAAAGAGGGUCCAUGACGGUACCGGAAGAAUAAGCACCGGCUAACUACGUG
rnacentral:rRNA from 1 species